rnacentral:lncRNA from 1 species
GGUCCUGGUCGGCCUCGUGGAUCAAAGAAUAAACCUAAGAAAUAACUAAUAGCACACACCAAGUUACAACUAGUUACAUUUUAUCAUACUCUUUUGCAAGUUACAUUUGAUUGUUAGAACUGCAUUUCUUUAGGUCAAAGCUUGUAACAGGGUCUUCCUAUUUGGAUUAUCAUCAUCAGUCACCAAUCUCAGGCAUUAUGCUGAGACUACACUGGAACAUGUUAGCCUCUUCCAUCAUGUCAUUGACAGUUUGACACUGUAUAGGCCGAAGGCAUGUAGACUGGGUGCUCCUUGUCUUUUUGUUUCAUGCAUAAUGCAUUCCAGCUUAGUUUGCCUAAUGUAGAUGGAAAGAUGGGGAACUUUAUCAAUGUGAUAAUAACAUGGUUUUGAAUUUUUAUUCACUUCUGUUUUGACAUUUAGAAGCAGUCUGCUUAAUUUAUUCUAGUUUAGAUAUACCUAAAUUGCAGUAAAGCAUGCCUCUGUUGACAUGAGCACCUGAAUGUGCACCGCAUUUAGACAAAUAAACAGUUCUCUUUUUUCUUUUUUCUUGUAUUCUUUUCUUUUCUUUUGGCCAAUAAACAAAGAAGUUUUACAAUAGCCUGAACAAAGAAUCCAAACAUUGAGGUCAUUGCCAACCGCCCAUUCUUGAUUUCCUUCACCUUCAGUUCAGCAAAGGCUUCAGGUUUAA